GGGGAAUGGGGAUUGAACCGCCUUCCUUCGAUCAUUGGACGACCCGCUCAACCACCUGAGCCACUGCCGCCCUAUGCAGAAUUAAGACCUUUUUCUUGUCAGUUGUUCUGUAAAUCAAAAUUCAAAUAAAUGUAAAUAAUUUACUAGAUAAGCCUUUGGCAGCAUCAUCUUAAUCUCCCUUUAAUCUCCUCUGCAUGUUUUUUUUUCUUUAGUUUCUUUUGCUAAUUUAAUUAAAUGUUAUCUGCCAUUAAUAAUGUAUGCAGUUUUGGAGUAAACUACAUUUGGCUGUUAUUUCCAAUAUACUGUGCUGUUUAAAACAUGUAUUAGUAUCUGGUUGUAAUUCAGGGCGCUUUCUAUUUAUGUAUUGGCCGCCCUCCUAACCGGCCCUCAGAAAAACAUCAGUCAGCCUUUCAACAAAUAAAACAAUUUUUUUAGUAUUUCCUUUUACCACUACUGAAGCAGUUCUUGUCAUGUCAUUGCCUUGGAUGUCUGUUGAGUACACAGCCCACGCACCCUUCAAUCCAUGCCACCUUUCUAACAGGUCAGUGAAAUAAUCUGUCUCUAUUGGCUCUGGGGCUGAUACUGGAUAGGGAGUUUAAAUGCAUGUUCAUUGAGAACAAAGCGGUUUCACCUCAUAGGCCCUAUGAGUUUGCAAUAGACCCGUUACCAGGUACAGAACCACACCACCUCAAGGGUGGUUAUACUCCCUGUCUGUUCCAGCCCGACCAACAAGUUGUAUUUGGCCAUCCACAUUGUUUUUUGGUCAAAAUGGCACCAAGGACAAACCAGUUGAUGCUGACGAUGGUUUUUUUUUCUUCUUUUUUCUAGAACUGUGCAGUAGAAUUAAGGAGUAUUCCUUUCAUUUUAGUAAAUUAAUGUUUAAACAUUGAAUCCCUGACAUCGACUGCUGCAGUAUGCAAAACAAAAACAGCACUUCUGUCCAAUUUUUUGCAAUGUUGCUGAGACCUGAGCAGUUGCCAGUGUGGCUGCAAAUCCAUACAACCUGCACUUACCUCUGAAAACCAAUUAAGACUUCAAUGAAAGUGUUAAUAAUUCUUCUAUGCAUUUUUAUGGACUAAAACCCAGAUAAGGAUCCAGAAGAGCAACGUGAGGCUACAUCAAAGUGACCACAUGGAGAUCCAAUUAGCUGGUUGGUGCUAAGAUGAUCAUCAUCUGGGUCUUUGCUUCCCAUUUCUUCAUUUCUACACCUUGUUAUGAUAACUAGAAGUACAGAAAUUGACUUAAUAACUGAAAUGUGUCUUUCAUAAUCUUUGUGUCCUGUGAUCAAUAUCUGGCUAAGCUAUAUGUUAGCCUUUACACUUGACAGACCUGCUUUUGUUUUAUAAAAAGAUAAGUAGAAAACUAAGUGAAAUAAAAUGGCAGUGCAUCAUAAAGUGAUGAUAGUAUUGCAUAUUUUCUACUUGAAGAACUGGUUAAAUUUGUUUUUACACUCAACAUGGCCAGUCAGAUUUGACUUUUAAAAAGCAUUUGAAUUUUUUUUUAUACUCUUGUUCAUCUUUUUUUAAUAUUUAAUUUGUCCUUUGUAUUUUAACUCUCAAACCUUUACACUAGAUUUUUGAAAAACUUGUUCAUCACUUGUUUGCUUUGGUAGAUACAAAAGGGAUGGCAGAACUUCUAAGGCAGCGGCUGAACCAAAACUGAGGAAGUUGCUGUCUGAACAAAACUAAAAAAUUUUUUAGUUUUUCUCAGAGCUCAUUGUUGUUGAUCCACCAGUUAUUUGGUUUGACUGGCUUGUGCUUGUGAAGACCAAACAAAGACUCUCAGACAGGAACCUUUUUUUUUCCUAAUGGCAGGCUUAAUAAAAUGUAUUUUUUCAUGAAUUUCUGAGUUUAGUCUCACUUUAAUGUCAGUACCCAUUAGUCAGGAUUGUGUCACACAAAUCACAAAUACAAUGAUUUUAACAACUGCUUUAAGCUAAAUUUCAAAGGAAACCUCUGUUUUUGAGAAAAGUGUCCCUAAAUUAAGCCUGGAGCCGCAGGACGUGUCAUAAAAAUGGAACGUACCAUUGUUGAGGAUGUUAUUAAGUAUUUGUAUGGCUAAUAAAAGUUACAUGCAAUUAUGACAUAUGGGCGAUGCUGUCGUCCAGUGUUCUUAUGCCACACUCUGGUCAUUACUAAGGUGUGAGUACUGUCCCUUCCUUACCGUGCGUGAAUGCUGAACUCACAGGAUCUGCACAUGAUAUGCAAGUGCCUGUAGGAUGCCCAGGAUGUCCACACAAACUGUCCUCUUAUUGUCUACUUUUAACAGUCAGGCUACAAGCAAAGGAUUGCUCACUUAUCCCAUGAAGAGCACUGACGGACUCCUCGUGCAAUCUGCAAGGUUUGGGGUGUUGAAAAUAAUUUGUAUGAUACAUCUGUGUCUCACCUACUUCACCCUACUUCACCACCACUUACCCUUAAAUGUUGCAUCAGUGUUCAUUACAACCUGUUGCCAGGGGCAUGCCCAUCAUAAAACAUAUGCAUAAACAUUUUCACUUUACAGGUUCACUGAGCGGUCUGCAACCUUGUGUGCCCAUUUUUCCCCUGCAGACAGCCCGUAUCCACCCACAAGGCCAGUUGUGACUAAGAUUUAAUAAAUAGUUCACCCCUAUUUAGCUAAAAACGAAGGUCUGACAGAUUUCUGUCAAAUGAGCUUAAGAAUAAAAGUAAAAUAAAGUUAGUCAUGUGGGUAUUGUUUUUGAGAAGAAAAGGAAUAGAUUCCAAUGACAUGUAAAUGAUUAACCCUUGUGCUUUCUUAGAUGACCCCACCCUUACAUUGACGUGUUCUCCCUACCAUGACAAAGGUGGAAUCACAAAUCAUUGAAGAAAAAAGGUUCAGCGCACUGUCUAGUGGGUCUAGAUGACCCAACUCCCAAUGUUAAAGUGCCUAGGGUUAAAGGGUUGGACUGUAGGGACUGUAAAUAGUAAAAAAAAAAAAAACAGAUCUUUUUACUCCAGUCUGUUCUCAUUUCAAACUCCAACUGAGCAGAUGCUGUAACUGUGUUGUGUUUUUUAGUCAGUUUAAUCCACUCCUGAAAGUACUGUUAAGCUGAAGCAGGUCAAAGUGUCACAUGACUGUUCAAAUUGAGAUUUUUUUAAUUGCUCUGUUAUCUCAGCAUCAUUGUUUGUGUCACGGUGGCCUCUGUCAGUGCUCCUCCCCCUCCCCUCUCUCUGUGCACCUGAAGAUUGGAACCAGCUGUGGACACUCUGCUCAUCACCUCACCGACUUCUUAAGGGGAUCCAGCCCAGCAGUCAUCGCCAGUCCGUUGCCUACCUCGGUUUCCAAAUCCACGAGUGUCCACCUGGGAGAUCUUCAGCUCGCUCCACACCAGUCUCGCCUCGAAGUCACGCCACGUUCCUCGCUCACCUCGGGUCCCAAGACAUCAGGCAGCGCGCAGCGAUCCGCACCGCACGUCUCGCUCGCUCCGCUCCAGCCACGCCAUGCUCUCAGCUUAGCUCUCAAGUCCCUACGAGCUACGCCGACUCCUCGCCAGAGAUCCAAGCUAGCAAGAAGUAACAACCAGAACUGUUAUCUCCUGCCUGGAUAUUAAAGACUCUUUGUUUAUCGCUA